UACGAAGGGGGCUAGCGUUGCUCGGAAUCACUGGGCGUAAAGCGCACGUAGGCGGCUUUUUAAGUCAGGGGUGAAAUCCUGGAGCUCAACUCCAGAACUGCCUUUGAUACUGAGAAGCUUGAGUCCGGGAGAGGUGAGUGGAACUGCGAGUGUAGAGGUGAAAUUCGUAGAUAUUCGCAAGAACACCAGUGGCGAAGGCGGCUCACUGGCCCGGUACUGACGCUGAGGUGCGAAAGCGUGGGGAGCAACGGG
rnacentral:rRNA from 1 species